ACGAUGUGCUGGAUACACCCAAGAAUUGCAGACGAAAUGAACUUUGCCAUGGCUAGGAAUAUCUUCUAAAGCGACGGUCUUCAGGGAGAUGAAAAUUUCAUUCAAAAGAAGGAACUUGCAUGACCGGGAGAUUGAUUGCAUAAAUGAGUUAAUUCAAAUGCUGGAACCUGUCUCUCUUGAUGAUCAGGUGGCUGAUUCGUUGUUGUCGAAGGUUGAGAAUGAUGGUACAUUUUCUGUCAAGGUAUGUUAUAAAAGCCUCUUUAGGAAAAUGGGUGGAGUCCAUGACUGUUGGCCAUGGAAGAUAAUCUGGAAAUCUAUUCUACCUCACUUGGAUUGUCACUCAUGAAGCUUGUUUAAACCAUGACAAUCUACAGAAAAGGGGUCUUACUAUGUGCAGAAGAUGUUUUCUAUGUGAAGAGGCUAAUGAAUCAGUGAACCAUCUUCUACUCCACUGCACUUUUUCCAGGAAAAUUUGGUCAAUGUUUUGGAGAAUAUUUGGAGGUCAAUUGGUUAUGCCAGGACGUACAAAACUUGCCUUAUGCAGCUCGUUUGCACAGCUAUUUUCUAGGGGCAGCAAGCACUAUUGGAAUGCAGUUCCAUUCUGGAACACUUGAUUAGAGAGAAAUAAUAGAUGUUUUAUUCUUAAUGAUAAUCUAGAUGCUGUAAGAGUCUUUAUUUAUGGUGUAGGAAGAAUGUUGUAUCUAACAUAGUCUCUUCGUUGGAUCUGUUGAAUUCCUUCAACAUAUAGAAGGAAGACCUCUCUUCUGUUGUACACCUUCUUGGUACUCAUUAAUAAAAUCUUAGCUUGUACACAA